UACGUAGGGGGCAAGCGUUGUCCGGAAUCAUUGGGCGUAAAGCGCGUGUAGGCGGUUCGAUUAGUCUGCUGUGAAAGUCAGGGGCUCAACCCUUGAAUGCCGGUGGAUACUGUCGGGCUAGAGUGCGGAAGAGGCGAGUGGAAUUCCUGGUGUAGCGGUGAAAUGCGCAGAUAUCAGGAGGAACACCAAUUGCGAAGGCAGCUCGCUGGGACGUUACUGACGACUGGAGAACGCGAAAAGCCGUGGGGGAGCAAACAGG
rnacentral:rRNA from 1 species